AGGAGGAGGUGGCUGACUCCAGUUGACUGACUCUGUGUGUUUGCAUAUGUGUCCUGCCUCUCUGCUCCCAGCCGUUAAGAGGCCAGUGUUGAUCAGUGGCUGUCCAGGCCUUUCACAGCCACUGACACGCCGGCAGCACAAUGAUGAUGUCACUGAUUCUACUGCUGGCCACCCUGGGGCUCCUUGUUCAGGAUUCAUCAGGAGAAAUCAUCCUGACUCAGUCUCCUGGAUCUCAGUCUGUUGCUCCAGGACAAACUGUCUCCAUCACGUGUUCAGCCAGUUCAAACGUUUUUAGUUGGCUCCACUGGUACCUUCAGAAACCUGGAGAAGCUCCUAAACUCCUGAUUUAUAAAGCUACAAACCGUCAGUCUGGAGUUUCAGAUCGUUUUAGUGGAAGUGGAUCUGGGACUGACUUCACUCUGACCAUCAGAGGAGUUCAGGCUGAAGAUUCAGGAGUUUACUACUGUCAGCAGAGUAACAGCGAACAGCUCACACAGUGAUACAACGUCGUACAAAAA